GACGAACGCUGGCGGCGUGCUUAACACAUGCAAGUCGAACGAAGUGGCGAACGGGUGAGUAACGCGUAAUCAACCUGCCCUUCAGAGGGGGACAACAGUUGGAAACGACUGCUAAUACCGCAUACUGAAGGAGGGGAUGGCGUCUGAUUAGCUAGUUGGAGGGGUAACGGCCCACCAAGGCGAGUAUCAGUAGCCGGUCGUGUAGGUAGACCGGCCAAAUUGGGACUGAGACACGGCCCAGACUCCUACGGGAGGCAGCAGUUGGGGAUCUUCCGCAAUGGACGAAAGUCUGACGGAGCAACGCCGCGUGAGUGAUGACGGCCUUCGGGUUGUAAAGCUCUGUUAAUCGGGACGCGGUACCGGAAUAGAAAGCCACGGCUAACUACGUGCCAGCAGCCGCGGUAAUUC
rnacentral:rRNA from 1 species